CAGUAGCCGCGGUAAUGCGAAGGGUGCAAGCGUUAAUCGGAAUUACUGGGCGUAAAGCGCACGUAGGCGGCUUGGUAAGUUAGAGGUGAAAGCCCGGAGCUCAACUCCGGAAUUGCCUUUAAGACUGCCGAGCUAGUAGGUGAGAGAGGUAAGUGGAAUUCCGAGUGUAGAGGUGAAAUUCGUAGAUAUUCGGAAGAACACCAGUGGCGAAGGCGGCUUACUGGCUCAUUCUAGACGCUGAGGUGCGAAAGCGUGGGGAGCAAACAGGAUUAGAGACCCGCGUAGUCCCUGUCUCUUAUAC
rnacentral:rRNA from 1 species